rnacentral:rRNA from 1 species
AUUCAGUCUGGGGCGAUGGACGUGCUGGUCGGAAAUCAGGCAGGGCUUUCCCCGACAGGGGGUCGUCCGGCCGCACGAAGUUCCGUCGCACCCGACGCAUUUGUCUCCCGUCCGAAGGACGCCGCAGCCGGUUGGGUAGUUGCAAGCACGACGGCCUGAGGGGCGGACAAUGGCAGGUGACCGUUGGCGNACAAGCGUCGACGGUUGUUAGCCGGUCCGUCAGGUGGCUCGUCACCCGACCGUGGUGUCAGGAGGCUCUCAGGGGCCUCACCGUCUCCUCCCCCGAGGAAGUCGGGACAGGACGUCGCAGGUGAAUCUCGCCGUCCCGUCGCACUCCGCAGGAGUGGACGGGCGAACGAGAGGCUCCGCUGGCGGCGUCGGACCCGUCGGAGGCUGAUGGCUGGCGGCGAGUAGGUCGGUCACCCACCCGACCCGGUCUUGAAACACGGACCAAGGAGUCUAACAUGUGCGCGAGUCAAUGGGUCUUGAACAGGCCCAGAGGCGCAAUGAAAGCAAAGGUCGGCAGACGCCGACCGAGUUGGGAUCCCGGCCUGACGGCUGGGCGCACCAACGACCCGUCCUAUCCGACUCGUCGGUUGGGCGGAGUAUGAGCGUACACGUUGGGACCCGAAAGAUGGUGAACUAUGCCCGGACAGGACGAAGCCAGAGGAAACUCUGGUGGAGGUCCGCAGCGGUUCUGACGUGCAAAU